rnacentral:rRNA from 1 species
GACGAACGCUGGCGGCGUGCUUAACACAUGCAAGUCGAACGGGAUCCGGGCUUUCGGGUUUGGUGAGAGUGGCGAACGGGUGAGUAACACGUGAGUAACCUGCCCCCUUCUUUGGGAUAACGUCGGGAAAUCGGCGCUAAUACUGGAUAUUCUUGCUGCAUCGCAUGGUGUGGUUUGGAAAGGGUUUCUGGUGGGGGAUGGGCUCGCGGCCUAUCAGCUUGUUGGUGGGGUGAUGGCCUACCAAGGCUUUGACGGAUAGCCGGCCUGAGAGGGUGUCCGGCCACACUGGGACUGAGACACGGCCCAGACUGCUACGGGAGGCAGCAGUGGGGAAUAUUGAACAAUGGGCGGAAGCCUGAUGCAGCGACGCCGCGUGAGGGAUGACGGCCUUCGGGUUGUAAACCUCUUUCAGUAUGGAACAAGGAUCCUUCUUUUGGGGGGUUUGAGGGUACGUGCAGAAGAAGCGCCGGCUAACUACGUG